rnacentral:rRNA from 1 species
GGCAGACGGGUGAGUAACACGUGGGAACCUUCCUAGGGGUACGGAACAACUCAGGGAAACUUGAGCUAAUACCGUAUACGUCCGUGAGGAGAAAGAUUUAUCGCCCUUAGACGGGCCCGCGUCGGAUUAGGUAGUUGGUGGGGUAACGGCCUACCAAGCCUACGAUCCGUAGCUGAUCUUAGAGGAUGAUCAGCCACACUGGGACUGAGACACGGCCCAGACUCCUACGGGAGGCAGCAGUGGGGAAUCUUGGACAAUGGGCGCAAGCCUGAUCCAGCCAUGCCGCGUGAGUGAAGAAGGCCUUAGGGUUGUAAAGCUCUUUUACCAGGGACGAUAAUGACGGUACCUGGAGAAUAAGCCCCGGCAAACUUCGUGCCAGCAGCCGCGGUAAUACGAAGGGGGCUAGCGUUGUUCGGAAUUACUGGGCGUAAAGCGCACGUAGGCGGGUCGUUAAGUCAGGGGUGAAAUCCCGGAGCUCAACUCCGGAACUGCCUUUGAUACUGGCGAUCUAGAGAUCGAGAGAGGUGAGUGGAAUUCC